UACGUAGGGUGCAAGCGUUAAUCGGAAUUACUGGGCGUAAAGCGUGCGCAGGCGGUUAUGCAAGACAGAUGUGAAAUCCCCGGGCUCAACCUGGGAACUGCAUUUGUGACUGCAUAGCUAGAGUACGGUAGAGGGGGAUGGAAUUCCGCGUGUAGCAGUGAAAUGCGUAGAUAUGCGGAGGAACACCGAUGGCGAAGGCAAUCCCCUGGACCUGUACUGACGCUGAGGCGCGAAAGCGUGGGGAGCAAACAGG
rnacentral:rRNA from 1 species